CAGCAGCCGCAGUAAUACCGAGGGUGCAAGCGUUAAUCGGAAUUACUGGGCGUAAAGCGCGCGUAGGUGGUUUGUUAAGUUGGAUGUGAAAUCCCGGGCUCAACCUGGGAACUGCAUCCAAAACUGGCAAGCUAGAGUAUGGUAGAGGGUGGUGGAAUUUCCUGUGUAGCGGUGAAAUGCGUAGAUAUAGGAAGGAACACCAGUGGCGAAGGCGACCACCUGGACUGAUACUGACACUGAGGUGCGAAAGCGUGGGGAGCAAACAGGAUUAGAUACCCGUGUAGUCCCUGUCUCUUAUACA
rnacentral:rRNA from 1 species